rnacentral:rRNA from 1 species
UUGCUGUGGUAUUUUGACUAUACGAAGGUAUUGAAAUAAGAUUUUAAAUGAGUGCUAAGAGAAUGAUUAAACAAUUAAAAGCUUUCUUUAAUUGAAUAAUUGAAUUUAAUUUUUUAGUGCAAAAGCAAAAAUAAAAAUUAGGGACAAGAAGACCCUAUGAAUUUUUUAUUAAAUUUUAUAAAACUUUUUAUAAAAUUUAAUUUAAUUGGGGUGAUGGAAAAAGAAUAAAUAUCUUUUUUUUAAAAAAAAAUUGGUUCCGUUUUUAGCGAUUAAAUGAAAAAAAUACUCUAGGGAUAACAGCGUAAUAAUUUUGGAUAGUUCAUAUAGAUAAAAUAGUUUGCGACCUCGAUGUUGGAUUAGGAUUCUUUUUUGGUGAAGAAGUUAAAAAAA